AGAGUUUGACCCUGGCUCAGAUUGAACGCUGGCGGCAGGCCUAACACAUGCAAGUCGAACGGUAACAGGAAACAGCUUGCUGUUUCGCUGACGAGUGGCGGACGGGUGAGUAAUGUCUGGGAAACUGCCUGAUGGAGGGGGAUAACUACUGGAAACGGUAGCUAAUACCGCAUAACGUCGCAAGACCAAAGAGGGGGACCUUCGGGCCUCUUGCCAUCGGAUGUGCCCAGAUGGGAUUAGCUAGUAGGUGGGGUAACGGCUCACCUAGGCGACGAUCCCUAGCUGGUCUGAGAGGAUGACCAGCCACACUGGAACUGAGACACGGUCCAGACUCCUACGGGAGGCAGCAGUGGGGAAUAUUGCACAAUGGGCGCAAGCCUGAUGCAGCCAUGCCGCGUGUAUGAAGAAGGCCUUCGGGUUGUAAAGUACUUUCAGCGGGGAGGAAGGGAGUAAAGUUAA
rnacentral:rRNA from 1 species